rnacentral:rRNA from 1 species
AAUCAACGCUGGCGGCGUGCCUCAGACAUGCAAGUCGAUCGAUUAAAGCUCUCUUCGGAGAGUGUAUAGAGUGGCGCACGGGUGAGUAACACGUAAGUAAUCUACCUUCGAGUGGGGAAUAACGUCCGGAAACGGACGCUAAUACCGCAUAAUGCAGCGGCAUCGCAAGAUGACAGUUGUUAAAGAUUUAUCGCUUGAAGAGGAGCUUGCGGCAGAUUAGCUAGUUGGUAAGGUAAUGGCUUACCAAGGCGACGAUCUGUAACCGGUCUAAGAGGACGGUCGGUCACACUGACACUGAAUAACGGGUCAGACUCCUACGGGAGGCAGCAGUCGGGAAUCUUGGGCAAUGGGCGAAAGCCUGACCCAGCAACGCCGCGUGAAGGAUGAAGUAUUUCGGUAUGUAAACUUCGAAAGAAUAGGAAGAAUAAAUGACGGUACUAUUUAUAAGGUCCGGCUAACUACGUGCCAGCCGCCGCAGUAAAAC